rnacentral:rRNA from 1 species
CAGUAGCCGCGGUAAUACGAAGGGGGCUAGCGUUGUUCGGAUUUACUGGGCGUAAAGCGCAUGUAGGCGGAAAUUUAAGUCAGAGGUGAAAUCCCGAGGCUCAACCUCGGAACUGCCUUUGAUACUGGGUUUCUUGAGUCCGGAAGAGGUGAGUGGAACUGCGAGUGUAGAGGUGAAAUUCGUAGAUAUUCGCAAGAACACCAGUGGCGAAGGCGGCUCACUGGUCCGGAACUGACGCUGAGGUGCGAAAGCGUGGGGAGCAAACAGGAUUAGAUACCCCCGUAGUCCCUGUCUCUUAUAC